GAUGAACGCUGGCGGCGCGCCUAACACAUGCAAGUCGAACGGACGAUGAAAAGCUUGCUUUUCAAAGUUAGUGGCGGACGGGUGAGUAACGCGUGGGUAACCUGCCUCAUACAGGGGAAUAGCAGCUGGAAACGGCUGAUAAAACCGCAUAAGCGCACAGUGCCGCAUGGCACAGUGUGAAAAACUCCGGUGGUAUGAGAUGGACCCGCGUCUGAUUAGCUUGUUGGCGGGGUAACGGCCCACCAAGGCGACGAUCAGUAGCCGGCCUGAGAGGGUGAUCGGCCACAUUGGGACUGAGACACGGCCCAAACUCCUACGGGAGGCAGCAGUGGGGAAUAUUGCACAAUGGGGGAAACCCUGAUGCAGCGACGCCGCGUGAAGGAAGAAGUAUCUCGGUAUGUAAACUUCUAUCGGCAGGGAAGAUAAUGACGGUACCUGACUAAGAAGCCCCGGCUAACUACGUGCCAGCAGCCGCGGUAAUACGUAGGGGGCAAGCGUUAUCCGGAUUUACUGGGUGUAAAGGGAGCGUAGGCGGCGGAGCAAGUCAGAAGUGAAAGCCCGGGGCUCAACCCCGGGACGGCUUUUGAAACUGCCCUGCUUGAUUUCAGGAGAGGUAAGCGGAAUUCCUAGUGUAGCGGUGAAAUGCGUAGAUAUUAGGAGGAACACCAGUGGCGAAGGCGGCUUACU
rnacentral:rRNA from 1 species